rnacentral:misc_RNA from 1 species
GGACUACUAGGGUUUCUAAUCCUGUUCGAUACCCACGCUUUCGUGCUUCAGCGUCAGUUGGGCGCCGGUAUGCUGCCUUCGCAAUCGGAGUUCUGCGUGAUAUCUAUGCAUUUCACCGCUACACCACGCAUUCCGCAUACUUCUCGCCCACUCAAGAACGCCAGUUUCAACGGCGGAGCGAGGUUGAGCCCCGCGAUUUUACCGCUGACUUGGCAUUCCGCCUACGCACCCUUUAAACCCAAUAAAUCCGGAUAACGCUCGCAUCCUCCGUAUUACCGCGGCUGCUGGCAC